AAGAUUUUAAUGAUCGAACAGAUCAAAAUUUUAAACUUUUGCGUUUAAAUUUUAUCUUAAUCCAACAUCGAGGUCGCAAACUUUUUUUUUUAUAUGAACUAAAAAAAAAAAUUACG
rnacentral:rRNA from 1 species